AGCGAACGCUGGCGGCAGGCCUAACACAUGCAAGUCGAACGGAUCCUUCGGGGAUUAGUGGCGGACGGGUGAGUAACACGUGGGAACGUGCCUUUUGGUUCGGAACAACUCAGGGAAACUUGAGCUAAUACCGGAUGUGCCCUUCGGGGGAAAGAUUUAUCGCCAUUAGAGCGGCCCGCGUCUGAGUAGCUUGUUGGUGA
rnacentral:rRNA from 1 species